CCCCAUCUCACAGUUUGAUGAUAAAGAGACACCCCAUCUUUGUUUACUUCACUCCACUCGGUGUCCCCGGCACAAGUAAACCCAUUUUAAGUCCUUUAACUAUCAGACCUUCCACUCCAGAGCAUCAGCAUCAGCAGCGUCACACUCCAGUCCCAACGCCACAUUUUGCUUUUCAAGUCCUGCCCUGCUUUUUCCUUCAGCUUCUUGAUUGCCCUGAAAAUGCCGGUCAUCUGGAUUUUGUUGCGACUUAAUUUGAAUUCUAAGUCCACCCAAAAGAGAAAACCUUGCAUGUUCACAGUGAAAAUUGUAAGAAUCUGUCAACUGAAGACACAAGCUUUAUUUGCCGAACGGAGAGUAACUCGAAUUCUCCGAAGAAAUGAAGUCACCCACGAUGCUCUUGAUUACCCCAGCAAUUCCGCUGCUCUCUUCUUCAGAAGCGAAAGCUCAAACCACCAACUCUCCCCUUCGAAGCCUGGCUCCCACGCGAACCCCACGCACCUGCUCACUCUAGCGGGCUCGUACUGCACUAUUCGAUUCCACGCUCUGAGAAUUAUUAUAGUCCCUUGAACAAUGUAAAAGUUGUGAAAGCAGCCCAUACUUAUGUAUUUUCAAAUUUGCAAAAUUAGAAAAAUAAACGUAAAAGCGGAAAAUCAAAAGUAAGACGUUAUCUGAAAUGCAAA